GACGAACCGUGCGAACGUUGUUCGGAAUCACUGGGCUUAAAGGGCGCGUAGGCGGGUUCGCAAGUCUGUGGUGAAAGCCUCCAGCUUAACUGGAGAAGUGCCGUGGAUACUGCGAAUCUUGAGGAGGGUAGGGGCAUCUGGAACGGUCGGUGGAGCGGUGAAAUGCGUUGAUAUCGACCGGAACGUCCGGUGGCGAAGGCGAGGUGCUGGACCCUUCUGACGCUGAGGCGCGAAAGCCAGGGGAGCAAAGCGGGG
rnacentral:rRNA from 1 species